GUGUGGCGGACUGGAGAAGAAUGAUACAUGCUGAUAAGCAUAUUUAUUCAAAUCACUCGUAAAAUAUUGAUUACAAAUAUUGACUGGGCUUUAUCUUCAUCUGCAAGCUCGGAUCAAUUAUUUAAUAUGAGAAAAAUAACUGAAUGAUCAUUCAAGAGACGGGAAUGUAAUUUGACAGCACGCGCACGCAGCAUCCUGUUGCUCAUCAUGCGUCUGUAGAUACACAACAACUGGCUAAAAUAGAUUAAGUUUUAAAUAGAAAUAACAUUUUUCUUGGUAGUUAAAUCAAGUGUCACUUUUUCUCCGUAAAAAUGAUGAAAAGCGUAGGAAAGCUGUUUGGGUUAAGGCGAAAAUGCGCGCCCCCAAAGUCUCGCAUUGACAAGAAAAAGACGCGCGUGAAUCCCAUUGAUAGUAUGCUGGAUGACAGCGACGAGGGCUCGUACGCCAGCACAACCAGUGUCAGUUCAGAGAGCGAAUACCAGAACUCCGAAGAGGAGCCCGGUUCCUCCGACAGCUCUUACAGAGCACGCGAGAGUGACGGGGAUGACAGCAGCGAGACGGACGAGAAAUGCACCGUGUCCCGUCAAAAGAGGAAAAGACCAGCCACCGCUCCUGCUGCUCUAGAUGACAGUUCCACUUCCAGCGAUUCUAGCGAUUCCUCCAGCGACGUCGGCGGAGAGCCGCUCAGGAGAGUAUUGCAGAGAAAACGGCUCAGGCUGCCGGAGGACUCUGAGGACGAGGCUCUGCGGGAGAAGAAGAGAGAGGCAGAGGUAAAAGAAGCCGCUGCCAAGAGAAGAGAGAGAAAGAAUAAACUCAUGGAGCUGUCGAAGAGAAGAAAGUCAGGAACCCCGCGGCGCAGGCGCAGGACGUUGGGCUCAGAAGAAGAGGAAGAGGAGAGAGAGGAGAUCAAGGAGGACAAAGUUGAAGAGCAAAGUAAAGCAGACGAUACUGGUGAAGAAUCUAGUGUGGAAGACAACGGCAAUCCUCUAAACAGCAGCGAGGAGGAAAAACUUGCUGAUAGUAGUGACAGUCUGAAGGAUUUUAUUGUGGAGGAAGAUGAACAGAAAAAUGAUAAAGAGCAGGAGGAAGAGGGGGACAACAAAGACAAGGACUUUCUCUCUCACCUUCCACGCCAGUUUAUCACAGGAUCUCAGCUCACCCACUUUCAGGUGGUGGUCAAAGCCUUGCUGAUCAAUGUACUGGACUCAACUUUCCUCAGUUCACUUUACAGUGGUGAACGAACAAAGCGAUAUGCCCAGGAGAUGAAAUCAUCAUUGCUUCAUUUUGAUGAGCGAUUGGUUCUUCCCCGCCUGGAGAACCUGAAGCAAAGGAGCCGCUGGAAAGAGCGUUACAAAGAAAGGGUAGAAUGUUAUCCCAAGUUGCGGGUUAUGAUGGCAAGGACCCAGACGAAGGGAUGUGAAGCCUGUGAGCUUCACAGAACGGGCCGCUUCACCGUGCGGCUCUCUGGCCAGUUGUACCACAACAACACCCUGCAGGAGGACCAGUUCAUGCCUGAUGAUUACCAGAGUUUCUAUGUUGGCUCUGUCUGUGCCAGUCGUACUGAGGUCUACCAUGCCCUGAAGCACUUUAAAUACCAUCUGUUUGAGAGGUGUCGUACAGCUUUAGAAGCUCAGAAGGAAAUACAGGCAGAGGAAACAGGAGAGGACAACGAACCAGUCAAGGACACAGUCAACAAGGUGUUUACCAAACUGCAGGAUGGAGGCUGGAUCAGUGAGUCUACUGUGAUGUGAGCGAUCACAAGGGGGACAUCUAUCAUUUCACUUCACAAGACAUUGAUUCAUCCACUGUGGUCGUACGGAUUACUGUCAUGAUCGCUGUGUGGUUGUUCAAGUGUCAAUUGAGCGGCACCCAUUCAGUGCCAUUAUAUGGACUCACAGAGAUGGAUUAUUUUGCUAAAAAUCUUCUUUGUGCUUAUCUGAAGAAAGAAAGUCAUAUACAUCAGGGAUGGCAUGAGGCAAUACGAGAAGUUUCAGGAACAUCUCAAUUCUGCCGAUUACUUCCAGGAAGAAAAGCUGGACUGAAAAGAUUAAACUUACCCUAAUGGCAUCAAUCUACCCUGUUUUUGUAAAUAUUUUUUUUUUUUGUUGAAGCAUGGCUAACUUUCGGGUUUUUGAAAAGUGUGUGCCCUGAAGUUUUAGCUUUUUCCUUUUAUAAUCACACUGCUGUGUAAAUUGCUUCUGCAUGAUUGUUACAAAUUCAGUACUGAGUAUAUAAUACUCAAUAUAUACAAACAAUAUUACAAGCUGCACCCCAAAAUGUAACAAAUUUGUCCAAAUCCUGAGGAUUUAAAAAUCAUGAAAAUACAGUAUUUUACCGAUUCAUUAAGAUAUGUAUGAUGUUUUUAAGCCUUCAUUUAUAAGUAAUCUUCUCAUAUUAACACUUCUGCGUAAAUGCAUCCAAGCGAUUUUAGUGUUUCAUUGUUCUUGUAAUAAACAAGAUUCAUAACCAG